AACGAACGCUGGCGGCAGGCUUAACACAUGCAAGUCGAACGCCCCGCAAGGGGAGUGGCAGACGGGUGAGUAACGCGUGGGAACAUACCCUUUCCUGCGGAAUAGCUCUGGGAAACUGGAAUUAAUACCGCACACGCCCUACGGGGGAAAGAUUUAUCGGGGAAGGAUUGGCCCGCGUUGGAUUAGCUAGUUGGUGGGGUAAAGGCCUAACAAGGCGACGAUCCAUAGCUGGUCUGAGAGGAUGAUCAGCCACAUUGGGACUGAGACACGGCCCAAACUCCUACGGGAGGCAGCAGUGGGGAAUAUUGGACAAUGGGCGCAAGCCUGAUCCAGCCAUGCCGCGUGAGUGAUGAAGGCCUUAGGGUUGUAAAGCUCUUUCACCGAUGAAGAUAAUGACGGUAGUCGGAGAAGAAGCCCCGGCUAACUUCGUGCCAGCCGCCGCAGUAACAC
rnacentral:rRNA from 1 species